UAUUGACAAAGGCAAACCCAUUGAAAAAUGGGGUCGCAAAGCUAUAGGAGCUAACGCGAUUGCAUGAUCGUCGCCACGCUAGCCAGCUACCAAU
rnacentral:ncRNA from 1 species